GAUGCAGCGAUGCCGCGUGAGUGAAGAAGGCCUUUGGGUUGUAAAGCUCUUUCGUCGGGGAAGAAAAUGACUGUACCCGAAUAAGAAGGUCCGGCUAACUUCGUGCCAGCAGCCGCGGUAAUACGAAGGGACCUAGCGUAGUUCGGAAUUACUGGGCUUAAAGAGUUCGUAGGUGGUUGAAAAAGUUGGUGGUGAAAUCCCAGAGCUUAACUCUGGAACUGCCAUCAAAACUUUUCAGCUAGAGUAUGAUAGAGGAAAGCAGAAUUUCUAGUGUAGAGGUGAAAUUCGUAGAUAUUAGAAAGAAUACCGAUUGCGAAGGCAGCUUUCUGGAUCAUUACUGACACUGAGGAACGAAAGCAUGGGUAGCGAAGAGGAUUAGAUACCCUCGUAGUCCAUGCCGUAAACGAUGUGUGUUAGACGUUGGAAAUUUAUUUUCAGUGUCGCAGCGAAAGCGAUAAACACACCGCCUGGGGAGUACGACCGCAAGGUUA
rnacentral:rRNA from 1 species